rnacentral:rRNA from 1 species
GAUGAACGCUGGCGGCGUGCCUAAUACAUGCAAGUCGAGCGAACGGACGAGAAGCUUGCUUUUCUGAUGUUAGCGGCGGACGGGUGAGUAACACGUGGAUAACCUACCUAUAAGACUGGGAUAACUUCGGGAAACCGGAGCUAAUACCGGAUAAUAUUUUGAACCGCAUGGUUCAAAAGUGAAAGACGGUCUUGCUGUCACUUAUAGAUGGAUCCGCGCUGCAUUAGCUAGUUGGUAAGGUAACGGCUUACCAAGGCAACGAUGCAUAGCCGACCUGAGAGGGGGAUCGGCCACCCGGGACCGGGGCCGCGGCCCAGCCCCCCAGGGGGGGCCGCGGGGGGAAUUCUCCCGAAAUGGGCAAAACCCUGCCGGAGCAACGCCGGGGGGGGAAUGAAGGCCUUCGGCCCGAAAACCUUUUUUUUUGGGAAAAAAAGAAGUUGGAGAUAACCGUGCCAUUCUUGAGGGUCCCAAAGAAAAACGCCCCGCCAAACUCCGU